rnacentral:tRNA from 1 species
AGUGGUUAAGGCAGUGGGUUGUGAUUCCACCAUUCGCCGGUUCAAGUCCGGUCACU